rnacentral:rRNA from 1 species
AGCGAACGCUGGCGGCAUGCCUAACACAUGCAAGUCGAACGAGACCUUCGGGUCUAGUGGCGCACGGGUGCGUAACGCGUGGGAACCUGCCCUUAGGUUCGGAAUAACUCCCCGAAAGGGAUGCUAAUACCGGAUAAUGUCUUCGGACCAAAGAUUUAUCGCCUUUGGAGGGGCCCGCGUUGGAUUAGCUAGUUGGUAGGGUAAAAGCCUACCAAGGCGACGAUGCAUAGCUGGGCUGAGAGGAUGAUCAGCCACACUGGGACUGAGAAACGGCCCAGACUCCUCCGCGAGGCAGCAGUGGGGAAUAUUGGAAAAUGGGCGAAAGCAUGAUCCAGCAAUGCCGCGUGAGUGAUGAAGGCCUUAGGGUUGUAAAGCUCUUUUACCCGGGAUGAUAAUGACAGUACCGGGAGAAUAAGCUACGGCUAACUCCGUG